rnacentral:lncRNA from 1 species
AGGCUCGUUGUCUUACAUGUCCUUCUCAUCUUGUCCUGGUCCCAGGUCAACCCGGGUCCUCAGCCCCUCCCCUCGUCCAGGCGCCGCGCCCCACCGGCACCGAGCGGUCACCAUCCAGUGAUGGGACCGCCUUCAUCCCAUGCGAUGAAUGACUUGGUGUCGGUGGCGGGGCAAUCUAUCAGCCGCCGAAGAUGGCAAGAGGCCUCCCCUCGUCGACGGACUUGAAUUCCGCAGUGCAGGCGAAGGUGACGCCAAAGCCCGAGAAACACUGCCGCCACACGGCUUCAAGAAAACCACAGACGCCAAACCUCACAGCACCCCGCUGGAACGCAACCCACACAACCCGCCCGGAAUGUGUCAGUUCCCAAAUCCCAACCGGGGUUACUUCCCACUCCAAACGUCUCACAGCGGCAAUCGCCCCACUAGGCCACUAACCGUUUCUGGCCCAUGCGUGGUUGCCAGUGAAAGACACGCGCCGGCAACGGCGCAUGACACCAUCACCAGGGACCGUGAGCUGUGCUGGCGGAGGUAGGCCCUACCGCCCUAGGAGCCAGCAGCGGCGGAGGCAUUUCCCUGCAUUCUGUUGCGUGUCAACAGCAAGGGCUCGUCCGAGAAGCCCCUGGCCGACGGCUCCAGCUGCUCAGCCCGGCCGCCCGAUUACAUGAUUCACACAAGCCGGCACAGUCAACCAGCAACACCUGAGAUAAGGCUGAUACAUUCGCUGCAGAUGCCAGGCUGAAGUAUAUAUCAUAAUAAGCUGAGGCCAAAUCGAUUUGCGCACACACGGUAUAACGGUUUUGUGUUGUGAAGCUGGAGUUGACCCCACCGCCAGCACCUUCUUGCAACGCGAUGGGCCAUGAAAUGCCCUAUAGUGGUUGUAGCUGGGGCGUGUGGUCAUCGCGAGCACGCUCAGCUCAGGCCCACCGUGACUAAACAGGUCCCAUAUAUACACCCAGCAGAACAGCAACCUACUUGGCGCCAAUCAUACGAACAAAACGUUCCUCGCUGGACGUUUCGCCAACGAUCUAGUCCUCUCGCGUCAUCAUGCCAUCCACGUGGGUGAUGCGCCAGUCGCGAAUCGAUACAGCCCGUUUCCUGUGAAGCAACAGUAGAAAUCUGCUCAAUUUUGCACGCACAACCUAGUACAGAGAGCAGGCUGCCAUAGUGCAAGUAUUUCAUUCUUCCCCCGACCAGCUUGGCGAGCAUUUCACCAAUGUAUAAGUUGCAUCAGCUGUCAUGGGGGUUACAGCUCUGCUAAAUAUAAUCCAAGAAGACAGUAUCGAGAAACAGAGCCGGGUUUUCCGCUGCGCGCGCGCGCGUUUAGUUGACUAUAUAUAGCAGAUGUGCUUGAUGGAAUAGUGAUGCAGGUUCUGGUGUGCCAUGCACUCAGCGAAAUCAGCGAGCUGCUACUCAGCCGUUUUGCUGUGGACAGUCUUGGCUGUAUGCACGCAAGGUAUGUAGAAGCUCACCAUAACAACAGUGUUAUUACACGGCGUUGACGUCGCAAACGUCUCAAGGCUUUGUCACUGGUACCCGACGAAACCUCGGGCGGGG